AUCUUGGGAGUUGAAUAAUCUCGUAUAACGUCGGGGAUAUGGCCCGAAAGUCUCUACCCGAAAACCUUAAAUUUUUGGACUACGAGUAAGCGUCAAUAAGAG
rnacentral:ncRNA from 2 species